GCGGCGGUGGCGCAGAGGCGACGCAGCAGACUUAGGAUCUGUGGCCUGUGAAAGGGCUUGAGGGUUCGAAUCCCUUCCGCCGCACGA
rnacentral:tRNA from 1 species